rnacentral:rRNA from 1 species
UACGAAGGGGGCUAGCGUUGCUCGGAAUCACUGGGCGUAAAGGGUGCGUAGGCGGGUUUUUAAGUCAGGGGUGAAAUCCUGGAGCUCAACUCCAGAACUGCCUUUGAUACUGAAGAUCUUGAGUCCGGGAGAGGUGAGUGGAACUGCGAGUGUAGAGGUGAAAUUCGUAGAUAUUCGCAAGAACACCAGUGGCGAAGGCGGCUCACUGGCCCGGUACUGACGCUGAGGCUCGAAAGCUAGGGGAGCAAACAGG